CGUAAGUACCGGCCUUCUUAAAAACCUCUGCUGCAAUUGGAACUGUAGAAUUCACUGGAUUGCUGAUCAGAUUAACAAUUGCAUUUGGGCAGCACUUUGCAACUCCUUCACAAAGUGUCUUGACAAUUCCAGCAUUGAUGUUGAAAAGGUCAUCCCUCGUCAUUCCAGGCUUCCUUGGAACACCAGCAGGUAUGAUCACAAGGUCCAUGCCGGUCAACGCACUCUCAAGCUGCGGCUGCCCUAGGAAACCACGUACC
rnacentral:lncRNA from 1 species